GGGAAUGUGGCUUAGUGGUAGAGUGCUUGCCUAACAUGCAUGAAACCCUGGAUUCCAUUCCUC
rnacentral:tRNA from 1 species